GCAAGUCGAGUGCGCGCUUGUAGCAAUACAAGUGGCGCACGGCGCACGGGUGCGUAACACGUGGGUAACCUGCCCGUUGGUGGGGAAUAACCUCGCGAAAGCGAGGCUAAUUCCGCAUAAGAUCCGCAAGGAUGAAAGCCGCAAGGCGCCGAAGGAGGGGCCCGCGCACGAUUAGUUAGUUGGUAGGGUAACGGCCUACCAAGACUAUGAUCGUUAGCUGGUCUGAGAGGAUGGCCAGCCACACUGGAACUGAGACACGGUCCAGACUCCUACGGGAGGCAGCAGUGGGGAAUCUUGCGCAAUGGGCGAAAGCCUGGCGCAGCGACGCCGCGUGGGGGAUGAAGCUUCUCGGAGUGUAAACCCCUUUCGACUGGGACGAAUACCUCGCAAGAGGGGUGACGGUACCAGUAGAAGAAGCCCCGGCUAACUACGUGCCAGCAGCCGCGGUAAGACGUUAGGGGCCAGCGUUGUUCGGAAUUACUGGGUGUAAAGGGUCAGUA
rnacentral:rRNA from 1 species